rnacentral:lncRNA from 1 species
CACUUUCCAUGAUCUCUCCAUCUUUCUACUUUAGCAUAUUUGGCCUAAUACAAAAUUUUCUUUUAAUUGUACAAGGAAGUUCAUGGCAAUGUUGAUGUUCCUAAAUCAAAUAUAAUUCAAGCAUGCAAAAGCAUUGGUGCUUUAACGCCAUCUUUCCAUUCUUUAAUUAUUUUAUGAGAAAUUGCAAUUUUUGGAGCUUAACUUGUCUAAAUUACUUUCAUUUGUUUAUGCUUUCUUCAGUUGCUAGAUUAGAGGGAGAGCAUAAAUGUACUAUAUUUUCUAUAAAUAUUAGAUAGGUAAAAGAAUAAAUCUUACUUUACUUAGAAUUUCAUUUGUGGUUAAAAAUUCAAUCUUGAAGCUUCAUUUUGCCCACGAGCAGGAGACCUGACAUUAUUGAAGAGUUUGCAGUGUAGCAAUAAUGGAAGAGUGAUUUGAAAUUUUUUUCUAAUGUUUUGUUUUUUCAAUACAAAUGUUUGUAAGUUCUCUAUAUAUCUCUCUGUGGUUGUCUUAGUUUCUUGAAUUCAUUCAUGAGGUGUUUUUUGUUAAACAAACUUGAAUUUAUUUGUGGGUUCUUCUAUUAAGUCACAAUGUUCUAUACAUUUGAAAUCAGAAUUGACAUUGGCAAGGCCAACUUUAUUUUGGUCUUUGAGGCCCCAUAUGCUUUUCUCCAUGUCUCAAGUGUUCCCAAUUGUAAUUUGUAGCUAACACCUUAAUUUUCUUCCUUUCCUUUAUACAUUGCUUCUCUCGACAAAUUUAAGGCAUUUGUAUAAAUACCAAAUGUGAAAUAUUUUGUUUCUCGAAAUAAUAUAAUUGCUUGUGAUUGUUGUAAUAUAAAGCUGAAUUUUUCAACUUCUCAUCGUAAUAUAUAUGUUCCUGU